rfam:Brassica oleracea var. oleracea cultivar TO1000 chromosome C3, whole genome shotgun sequence
AAUCCAUGGUGUGGACAGUCUCGCUGGAAGAACUUGAAUCUGAUCCAUGCAUCUUUGAAAACUCUUCAGUCUCCUGCAUGAAUAUAGCAAUUUUGCUCCUCAAGUCU